rnacentral:rRNA from 1 species
GUCUACAGCCAUGCCACCCUAAAUGUGCCUGAUCUUGUCCGAUCUCAGAAGCUAAGCGGGGUCGGGCCUGGUUAGUACUUGGAUGGGAGACCACCUAAGAAUACCAGGUGCUAUCGGCG